rnacentral:misc_RNA from 1 species
UCUCCGUUGGUGAACCAGCGGAGGGAUCAUUACCGAGUUUACAACUCCCAAACCCCUGUGAACAUACCAUUUGUUGCCUCGGCGGUGCCUGCUACGGCAGCCCGCCAGAGGACCCAAACCCUUGAUUUUAUACAGUAUCUUCUGAGUAAAUGAUUAAAUAAAUCAAAACUUUCAACAACGGAUCUCUUGGUUCUG